GGUUGUAGCUCAGUGGUAGAGUGCUUGCCUAGCAUGUGUGAGGCACUGGGUUCAAUUCUCAGCACCA
rnacentral:tRNA from 1 species